rnacentral:rRNA from 1 species
UACAGAGGGUGCGAGCGUUAAUCGGAAUUACUGGGCGUAAAGCGUGCGUAGACGGUUAUUUAAGUCGGAUGUGAAAGCCCCGGGCUCAACCUGGGAAUUGCAUUCGAGACUGAAUAGCUAGGGUGCGGUAGAGGGAAGCGGAAUUUCCGGUGUAGCGGGUGAAAUGCGUAGAUAUCGGAAGGAACAUCAGUGGCGAAAGCGGCUUCCUGGACCAGCACCGACGUCAGGCACGAAAGCCGUGGGGAGCAA